UACGUAGGCAGCGAGCGUUGUUCGGAGUUACUGGGCGUAAAGGGUGUGUAGGCGGUUCUUUAAGUUUGGUGUGAAAUCUCCCGGCUCAACCGGGAGGGUGCGCCGAAAACUGGGGGACUAGAGUGCGGGAUGGGAGAGUAGAAUUCCUGGUGUAGCGGUGAAAUGCGCAGAUAUCGGGAAGAACACCCGUGGCGAAGGCGGCUCUCUGGGACGGUACUGACGCUGAGACGCGAAAGCGUGGGGAGCGAACAGG
rnacentral:rRNA from 1 species